CUCAGGUACACACACACACACACACACCGGACUACAGUCCUCAGGAAGCGUUUACGAACGCCAUCACUGACCUGAUCAGCGAGCUGUCUCUGCUGGAGGAACGCUUCAGAGUCGCCAUCAAAGACAAACAGGAAGGCAUCGAGUGAUGAUGUCACUUCCUGUUUCACUAUGGGUUGUUUUGUAAAUAAAGUGUGUGAUGUCACAGCACGCA